UACGGAGGGUGCAAGCGUUAUCCGGAUUCACUGGGUUUAAAGGGUGCGUAGGUGGGCUAGUAAGUCCGUGGUGAAAUCCCCGAGCUUAACUCGGGAACUGCCGUGGAUACUAUUAGUCUUGAAUAUCGUGGAGGUAAGCGGAAUAUGUCAUGUAGCGGUGAAAUGCUUAGAGAUGACAUAGAACACCGAUUGCGAAGGCAGCUCACUAAACAUGUAUUGACGCUGAGGCACGAAAGCGUGGGGAUCAAACAGG
rnacentral:rRNA from 1 species